rnacentral:rRNA from 1 species
GCGGNAUAACUAACAGGAUCCCCAUCGUAAUGGCGAAUGAGCAGGGAUGAGCUCAGCAUGGAAAUUUGGGCCUGCGGCCCUGACUUGUAAGCUGGUGAGGUAUUGCCAACAGAGGCGCGGAUGUAAGUCUUUUGGAAAUGAGCAUCAAUGAGGGUGAGAGUCCUGCUUGUCAUUUGCAGACCCCUGUGCACAGUGUGCCUACAGCGAGUCACGUUCCUCGGGAUUGGAGCGCAAAGUGGGUGGUAACUUUCAUCUGAAGCUAAAUAUUGGUUUAAGACCGAUAGGAAACAAGUACCAUGCAGGGAAAGGUGAAAAGGACUUUGGAAAGAGAGUUUAAAGUGCCUGAAAUUGCUGAAAGGGAAGCGCAUGGAACCAGUGCACCUGGUGAGAUUGCCAUAUGCCAUAAUGAAUGGUUGUUGAUGCAUCGCAAGUGUUCCCGCAGUCAUUGACCUUUAUGUGUGUGGUGUGUCUUGCCGUGAACGUCAUCGUGGGCUUCUGCANUAAGACAAUUCAAAGUUCAGGGUAAUAUGUUUGCGAAGGUAUGAAGGUGCGCUGCUAUGCUUAUGCAUAAGCUUCCCGCGUCUGUCCAGCUGCGGACUGCCCCUCCCACUUGUGCCAGGGGAUCACAAACACAACAUCUGCACAGCUGAUGACUAAAUGAUUCUAUUCGACCCGUCUG